ACAACAUUCGGACCGUCGGUCUACCGAGCAAUAUCAACCGCUCGAGGGAAGAUCUUCCUUUCGUCGU
rnacentral:pre_miRNA from 1 species